UAAGACUAUAGGCUACAUGCACAUUUUCUAAAGCACUGAGAACUGCGAGACCACGGAGGGCUCCGCCCUCCAAGGCAAUCCAUGCUCGCCCAUAGGAUUUGUCAGAGAGCUUCCUAACACAAUGAGAAUGGAAUAGCGUCAUGUAUGGUGAACAGCAAACAGGCCCUGAGAUAAAAGACAGCAGUCACGGACAGAGGUCAUGGCUUUCUCUUCUCUUCUCUCUGUUCCCAUCCAGAUUUACUGAUCCUUCAAGGCCCAACUCACUUUGUACUUCCUGCACAAUAUCAUCUGUGACUUCCUCUGACCGAACCCCUCAAUCCAAACGUCCUUCCUGGUUCCAGCAGGAUUCCUUGUGCCCAUUAGGGAAACCAGAAGGAUUGUCCCUGUUUAUUUGCUAUCAGAGAGGCCUUUGAACUCCAGGAAAGCUGCCAUCUUGUUUUUGCUCACUCCUCGUAUGCUUAGUGUCUGCAGCAUGAAACACUGGUUUUGCUGGAAGUCUUCUUUCCAAAGAAAUCCAUGUACCAGGCCAGUGUUCCUGCAUGCUAUGAAGAUCCCAAAUGAUACUAGCUGUCUUCGUGGGAACUGGGCUGAGUGGACAGUGAGAGAGAGAGACAGAAAGGUCUUCCUUUACCGUUGGUUCACCCUCCAAUGACCGCUGCGGCCAGCGCGCUGUGGCUGGCGCACCACACUGAUCUGAAGCCAGGAGCCAGGUGCCUCUCCUGGUCUCCUAUGCGGGUGCAGGGCCCAAGCACUUGGGCCAUCCUCCACUGCACUCCCAGGCCACAGCAGAGAGCUGGACAGGAAGAGGAGCAACCCGGACAGAAUCCGGCUCCCUGACCGGAACUAGACCCCGGUGUGCCGGCACCGAAGGUGGAGGAUUCGCCUAUUGAGCUGCAGCACUGGCCGUAAAUAUCUUCUAAGCAAUGUACCUCUCUUACAUCAUUCAAACCUCCUCAAAAGCACUACUAGUUUUUUCACUCUAACAUGAGCAAAUUCAAGUACAGAGAGGUCAUGCAAUUUCCUCGCAUCACACAGGUAAUAAGCAACAAAGCUGGGAUUCAACACUGUCAGCCAGGGAUUUUCACACACUUUUAUCCAUGUGGCUGUUGAAUCAGCAAGCCUGGGAGACAGUUCUUUUCAUGUCACUUUUGUACAAAGUGAGACUCAGCGAUACCAAGCAGCAAGCUGAAGACUCAAGUCCACAUCCUUCCAGGAUCCUGGAUCAACUUCCACUUUCAGAUAAAUGAGCUUCCAAAAUAAUUUUCCAAAAGAUAGUCUCUGAAAAAUUGUAUUGCAGAUCAUCUUUAUUGUACCUACUAAGAAAAUUAUUUAAUAGUUUCUUUUUGAAAGACAAAAAGGGGAAAUACAGAUGAUUGUUAAGAUCAAAUUUAUUCUCAAUAUCUGAGGGAUCAAGUGAUGAAGUUGAUUGCAGAAUAGCUCUCCAUAUGGAUGAGAUUUUUGUUUGUUUUUUGCUUUGUUUCUUAAAGUAAUCAUUGCAAAAUCCUUUACAAAAUAAACUGACAAAGUGGUUCUGUUUUCAGAGAGAAUUGCACUUGAGAAAGUGUUAGGAGAAACUGAGACGGUGGCUUGGGAGUGGCCCCCUGCCUGGCCUCUUGUGUGAUUUGGGUUAGCCUUCCAUCUCGGAGGAAGUUGUCAUAGUUUCUCCCCUUCAAGUUUUUACCGCUAACAUUUUUGGAGUCUGUUUUCUUUUUCUUGUUUAGAACUGACUCUCCCUCUCUUAUUUUGAAUUUAAUUUUAUCCUGUCUUCCACGGUUUUAACACAUGUUGAGGUCAUGAUGACAAGCAUUCGCUCCGUUCAACUUUGAAUUUCAAGAGAUAGGGCCGACAUUUCAUGAGAAUGCAUGAUGGUUUUGUUUUCCUUCUCUUUAUCUGACCUAGUGAUAUUUCUCCUUGCCUGGAACUGUUUUCUCUAACCACAGUCCUGUUUCCUAUCCAUGUCACCAGUAGCUUGGACUUCCCGGUGUCGUGUCCCAUCUCACCAAAAGGUUGUCCUUUCUAAGACCUCAGGCCAUGUGGAAGAAAAAUAAUAAGCUCCAUGUUCAGAAGACAAAUGUUGCGAGCAAAGUUUUUUCUCCUUUUGGUUGUUCUUCAACGUAUGUGGCUUUAGGGAUCAGAAUGUCAGUGUUUUGAAAGAAGCAAAGACUUGAAUUUAUUUUGGUGCAGCUAUCAGAUUUUGAGGCACUGAAUCAUUUGCUUUCCUCUUGUGAGGUCCAGGUAAAAGUUCAUUCCCUCUAUGGGCUGGUGCUUCUGACAAACAAAAAUCAAGGAUCCAAAAUCAGUAUUUUAUCUAAAAAAUGUGAACUAUCCCAAAACAAACAUGAAAACACACAGCUGCCAAAUUCCACAAGUAAAAAGAAUGGGAGGUUGAGGCAGCUCAGCAAGUCACUGGGGAGCAACGGGUAAAGUUUGGCCAGCUGCCCUCACUGGCCUUGAGGGACACUCAAUCCAAUUGCUGCUUCUUAGCGGAUGUGAAUUUCAAGGUUACACCUGGGUGUUCAAGGGCAGGGCCAAGUGUAAUCGGCACUUAGAUCAUAGAUUAAUCUUAUUUGCCAUCUAUUAGGUUUGAUUCCCCUUCCCUCUCUCCCUCCCUAAAGCCAGGAUUAUUGUGAUAGUUUAAGAUAAUGGAUUCUAACGGAAGAAAGGUCACGCAGGCAUGGAGAUUUGGAACCUUAAGAUAAUAUGAUUAAUCUAAAAGCUUCUUUCUCAGAGGGGAGGGCCACACUUUUCAUAUGUCUAAUUGAGAGAAGAGGGCUGAAAGACCGAGAAAGAGCCAUAGAAAGGGAGUGCAAAGGAACUCAGUCCUUGUCAACAACUGCAAUUAAUUAUCAUUGUCAGGAUGAUCUUUCAUUAGUUUUCACACUAAUAAGAUAGAUUUGCCUCAUGCCUGAGGCUGAUAAAGCCUUAUUGGCAAUGUUGAUAAGAAUAUGUCAGUAUGGAGAGCAAUUCAUGGACAUCUUCAUUUUGUUUUAUUUGACUAACUUUCCAAAACUAAAUGACUAAGUAGAUAUUGCUAAAAGUAACUACACUUAGGUCAUAAGAGUGAUGAAAUACAAUGCAAGUCCUUAGCUCAGUGGCUGGCAUAGACUAAACAGUAAGUAAAUGCUAACGAUUGCCAUUAAUGUUAUGAACAUUUAUACACUAUGUUUUAAGCUUUGCAGUUUAAUCAUAUCUUUUCAGAUAUUUUAAGAUUACCUGUUCAACAUGGAGAAUUUCAUUAAAAAUUAAUAAUGAUAUUCAUAUACUUAUUAAUCAAGGUGAAUCAAGACUAAAAGCUUCAAGGAAAGAAACCAUUAGUCUUGGUACAUCUGCAUUAAAACUUGAAUUUAAACACAAACAUGAGUUCUCUACUCUCCUCCCCUCACCAUUCUUCUAGGGAGGAAACUGCUUUGUUUUACUCUUUACUUAUUGUUAACUACUAAUGAUUUUCACCAUUGUGAAUUACUGUAUUUUGGGAUUAUUAAAAUUUUAUAGAAAUAUGUAUCCCUUGACUUGACACACACACAUUUAUUUACCUUGUACACACACACACACCCCACCACCACCACUGCUACCACCGUCACUUCUUCUAUCAUCAUCAUCAUCACCAUUCCAUUAAAUUCAACUGCUCUGCUUUCCUUGCUUCUUUGAACUCAAUGCAGGUGAAAUGUUGGGAUCUUCCAGCAAACAAGAGAGAAAAGGGAUAGCCCUCCAGGGAGGCCAGCUUCCUCCCACAGACUCUUGUUUGUGGCCUAAGGGGGAGGAAUGUGGGAUUUUAAUCUGUAAUUUGUAAUUUUCUAAAGAAAUAUUUUCUUUAACAAAUGGAACUCUGUUGAUUCAUUCACAAGGGAAAAAAAAGUGGCAAGUCGGUCUUUCCUAAACCAAGAAGACAGAACAGGAGGAGGAGACCACUCCUGGAUACGCAGACCCAGUGUAAGGUAGACAGGACCUCAGCACAAUUAGCACUUGGGGCAUGCCUGACUCGCAGAAUGCCAAGUUCUUAAUAUAUGCCCACCGUGCUUGAGGCAGAUUCUCAAGACUCCCAAAGGCAUUAAAGCAUCGUGGAAUAAUUAGUUCCCAAUAGUACCAUGCACCUUGGCUUGAAAAUCUAGCAGAAGUGCCUGUGUUCAGAUCAGUCACACAACUGCUUCACGAUGAAGUGCAAAGAGCCAGAGAAAAUUGAUGUGGAGCCUAUGGAAAAAUAAACCACAGUGUUCUGGAGAUGAUCUCCUUUUUCUGCAAUUUUGAAACUUUUCCCUAAAUAACACUGUAAGCCAUUGACCUCUCGACUUGAAAUCACGGUGGCCAAUUGUAAAUUCAUUCUGUAUCUCUAGAAGGGGAAAAUAUUUGAAAUUUCUGAAAGAAAAUACUUCUUUCUCACUUUCUAAAAGUCAGAAUUUGAAGAGCAAAUGCUUAGUGUGACAAUUAAGACUCUAUGUCCCACAUCAGAGUGACUGCGUUCAACACUCAUCUCUAGUUCUGACUCCUGACCCCGACUUUUUACUCAAAUAGAUCCUGGAAGGUAUCAGUGAUGUUCCCAAUAGCUGGACCUCUGGCACUUUCUGCGAGAGCUACACUGAGCUCUCAGCUGCCAGCUUCGGCAGGAGACAGUCGCAGUCAUUGUAGGCAUUCAGCGGAGUGAAGCUGCCCGCAGGAGCUUUCUCUGUCUCUGACUCUCAAAUAAUUUUCUUUAAUUAAAAACCAUUUUUAAAAGUCUACCUGCAAACUUGUAAAAUGGAGCAUUUUGGAGUUUAAACAGGCCAGGUGGAAGGAUUAACAUGCUGACCCCAAGGCACUUCCAGGGCAGUUGCUAUUGAAAUGUUCCUCCACCACUUAUGAUAUCAGCGUCUCACCGUUCUGUUCAUUUCACCGCUUAAUAAUUAGAAAGAGGAACAAUAAGGUAUGCCCCAGUCUCAUUCCUCUUUCAAGACAACUGCCACAAAACACAACAAAGCAACGGUGACAUAAUACUCUGCUGCUGGCAUUAUCUGGAGCAGGAGCAGUCCAAAAAGGCUUGCUGGGCCCUUGCCUGUAGCACCCCUUCCCUCCCUAAACUCAUUCCCACUUUCUGAUUUUCCCCAUCCUCAGAAAGAGGUGUUGGCAUUCAGCAACCCCCAUACAUCAAAGCUUUCCCUAAUAUAUGAUGUGUUUAUUCUUCCCAGCUGCAGGACAAAUCACUCUCAAAUGACUGACAACAACUCUAAAAUGAAGUAGAUCCAAAGUGAGCUCUAACAGUUAUGGGAAGUCGCUCUAGUCAAACAUCAAGCAAAUUAAUGUGGGCCCCUCCUGCACCUUCACUGUGGAAAUGUCAUAGAGUAAUAAGCAGGGAGACCCUCGCAAUGCUGAGGGCUGGACUUCCAUAGAUUUACAUAUUAAAGGUGCAGGGCACAUUUCAUUUGCUCUACUAUGGAACUCCUAAGUAUCUACAUUCUAAAUUCCUUCUAGUAAAUAUUGCUUCUUAUUGUGGGUUGAACACACAGAUGAGCAACGAUUCAAAUGCAGUUAUGCAUAUAUGAAAGUCACAAUCAUUUAGUUUUUAAAGAAUGAAUUAAGCAGAGGCUUAAGAAAAUGUGUACCUCUCUGGGUUAUCAGAAUUUACAUGAUAUCAGAAUUGUGUGUGUGUGUGUGUGUGUUCAUUGUAUGUCUUAAGAAAGUGGGAUAGAAAAAGCUUCAGGAAGAGAAUAUAGUACUGAUUGAAAAAUUAUUUUUAAAAUUUUUGCAUUAAAAUCGAUUUUUGUCUCCAUCAGACCUGGGGAAAGUAUUCCAAAACUAUUGUUGGCAGACAUAAUGGUUACUGUGCUUUGAGAGACUUUACAAAACUAAAUUCAUCAUUUUCCCAAUAUCCUAAAAUAUCAUGUCUGAAAUAUAUCACCCAAAGCCUUCUACUCUAUGAUUAGAUGGCUCAAGAAUGGAUAAGCCUUUGUAUCUCUGAUUCCCAGCUUGCUUUGGAAAAUUCCUUUGUUCUCUGCUUGUGUUUGAUAUGACUUUCAUACCUUGUCAGUCAUCAGACUAACCAAGUAAGUUACCAGCAUGCCAAGUGCACACGAGAGACACUAUACAGAUUCUCUCUCUCUGUCUCUCUCUCUCUUUCUCUGUAUGAGUCUGUGUGUGUGUGUGUGUGCGUGCAUGUCUCACUUUCUCCUUCCUUCCUCCUCUGUUUCUUUCUCCUCUCUUUUGGGUACUUGCACACAAACAUAAACACAUACACAAAUAGAUUUUUGGUUGGGUUUUCUGGAAUGAAAACCAGCAGAUCAUUGUGCAUCAAAUUGGUAAUAUCCAAAUAAGUACACAAGAUUUUGUUUUGUUUUGUUUUUUGGUUGCUACUAGGAUGUCCUAGAAGAUUUAUUUAUUUAAAAUAUUUCAUGUUGGUUUAUGAAUAAAGUGCAAAGUAAGCUUUCUUCUGAGUGAAUAUAGGUGAUUUAUCUCUUAUUAAAGAAACCCAGCAAGAUUUUUCACACUGGGCUAAUUUUAGAGGGAAAAGAAAAAGCCAUGGAACAUGUAUUUAUUAAAAACAAAAUAACUACAGCAAGUGAUUCCCAAAAGGUUUCAUUAUUUGAAUUUUUUCUUCUUUCUUUAGUACUUCUCUUUUUCUCUUCAAUGAAAAAUCAAAUAAGUAAUAUUCAGCUUCUUAGAAAACCUUUCAAAACCCAAAGUCAAAGAGUUGUGUCAAAAUACAAAAACAAAAUUCACCUGCAAUGAAAUUUAUUUUCUUAAAGAAUCACUUAUGUUUUCCUUAUUUUUGUUCUCUUUUAUUUUAUGAGCUUGCAAGUAAAAUUAAAGAUUUAUGACAUUAUUGUAUAUGAAAGUCAAAGUGUAUCCAUUUCAUUUUUCUGGUCUAUUUAUAAAUUGAUAGAAUAUACUAUUAUCUGUGCGUGUGUGUGUGUGUGUGUGUGUGUUGGGUCAAGCAGUCAUUUUGUUCCUCUGAACUCAGGUACAUUCUUUCUUGUGCGGGAAGAUACUUCAAUAUUCUGCUAAUUAUAGACCAUAGACCAGAAAAA